rnacentral:rRNA from 1 species
GAUGAACGCUAGCGGCAGGCUUAACACAUGCAAGUCGAGGGGUAUAUGUCUUCGGAUAUAGAGACCGGCGCACGGGUGCGUAACGCGUAUGCAAUCUACCUUUUACAGGGGAAUAGCCCCAGAGAAAUUUGGAUUAAUGCCCCAUAGUAUAAUUGAAUGGCAUCAUUUAAUUAUUAAAGUCACAACGGUAAAGAUGAGCAUGCGUCCCAUUAGUUAGUUGGUAAGGUAACGGCUUACCAAGACAAUGAUGGGUAGGGUCCUGAGAGGGAGAUCCCCCACACUGGUACUGAGACACGGACCAGACUCCUACGGGAGGCAGCAGUGAGGAAUAUUGGACAAUGGGCGCAAGCCUGAUCCAGCCAUGCCGCGUGCAGGAAGACGGUCCUAUGGAUUGUAACUGCUUUUAUACAGGAAGAAACACUCCGACGUGUCGGAGCUUGACGGUACUGUA